CGGCGUAUGCUACCAUGCAGUCGAACGGGCGUAGCAAUACGUCAGUGGCAGACGGGUGAGUAACGCGUGGGAACGUACCUUUUGGUUCGGAACAACUGAGGGAAACUUCAGCUAAUACCGGAUAAGCCCUUACGGGGAAAGAUUUAUCGCCGAAAGAUCGGCCCGCGUCUGAUUAGCUAGUUGGUGAGGUAAUGGCUCACCAAGGCGACGAUCAGUAGCUGGUCUGAGAGGAUGAUCAGCCACAUUGGGACUGAGACACGGCCCAAACUCCUACGGGAGGCAGCAGUGGGGAAUAUUGGACAAUGGGGGCAACCCUGAUCCAGCCAUGCCGCGUGAGUGAUGAAGGCCCUAGGGUUGUAAAGCUCUUUUGUGCGGGAAGAUAAUGACGGUACCGCAAGAAUAAGCCCCGGCUAACUUCGUGCCAGCAGCCGCGGUAAUACGAAGGGGGCUAGCGUUGCUCGGAAUCACUGGGCGUAAAGGGUGCGUAGGCGGGUUUCUAAGUCAGAGGUGAAAGCCUGGAGCUCAACUCCAGAACUGCCUUUGAUACUGGAAGUCUUGAGUAUGGCAGAGGUGAGUGGAACUGCGAGUGUAGAGGUGAAAUUCGUAGAUAUUCGCAAGAACACCAGUGGCGAAGGCGGCUCACUGGGCCAUUACUGACGCUGAGGCACGAAAGCGUGGGGGAGCAAACAGGAUUAGAUACCCUGGUAGUCCACGCCGUAAACGAUGAAUGCCAGCCGUUAGUGGGUUUACUCACUAGUGGCGCAGCUAACGCUUUAAGCAUUCCGCCUGGGGGAGUACGGUCGCAAGAUUAAAACUCAAA
rnacentral:rRNA from 1 species